rnacentral:rRNA from 1 species
AMYMRUCYUACGGGAGGCAGCAGUGGGGAAUCUUGCGCAAUGCSCGAAAGCGUGACGCAGCAACGCCGCGUGGGGGAAGAAGGCCUUCGGGUUGUAAACCCCUUUCAGGAGGGACGAAGGUCGGGSGGUGAAUAGCCGACCCGACUGACGGUACCUCCAGAAGAAGCCCCGGCUAACUACGUGCCAGCAGCCGCGGUAAUACGUAGGGGGCAAGCGUUGUCCGGAAUUAUUGGGCGUAAAGAGCGUGUAGGCGGUCCGGUAAGUCGGCUGUGAAAGUCCAGGGCUCAACCCUGGGAUGCCGGUCGAUACUGCCGGACUAGAGUUCGGAAGAGGCGAGUGGAAUUCCCGGUGUAGSGGUGAAAUGCGCAGAUAUCGGGAGGAACACCUAUGGCGAAGGCAGCUCGCUGGGACGUUACUGACGCUGAGACGCGAAAGCGUGGGGAGCAAACAGGAUUAGAUACCCUGGUAGUCCACGCCGUAAACGAUGGGCACUAKGUGUGGGAGGUGUCGACUCCUCCCGUGCCGGAGCUAACGCAUUAAGUGCCCYGCCUGGGGAGUACGGCCGCAAGGCUAAARSUCAAAUGAAUUGACRG